AAUGGCAGCGCGAUGAAUACAAUCGAGAAGAAGACGAUAUUGGUGUUUUAGACCUAACACAGUUCUGUAAUAUGCAUCAGUUCAUAUUAUGUUGUGCUCCCAAUGUAUGCGAUGUGUUUUCAACCUUUAAUAACAAAGAUUAUCUAAAGGUGGAUGAAGAAAGAGAUGCGUUUGAAAUCGUGUUUCACCGUUAUAACAUUUCUUCUGAAGUGGUCCCACUUGCUGAUUUAUCCGAUGUUGAUUUACGGGACGAUAGUUCUCCCAGCCAUCUCAUUAUGAGCUCGAUGUUGAUGAGAUAUUUGUCUAGCCAUGAAGAAGGAGCUAAAAUUAAGCAUCAGUUCAUGAGUUCUUUGUUCGAGAAAAGGUAAAGCGUUGCGCGUAUCACAUAGCAUGCUUAAUAUUCGUCUUUUGUGACUGAGAGUUUACAUUUUUACAGAGGUGAAGAAUACGAUAUUUACCACGACAGCAAUUUAAAGGAAACUGUAAAAGUUGUACCGAUACUUUUACGCUUUAAGACGAGAUUAGAGCAACUGCUUGUUGAAUGGCCGGAGCAUCCAACGCUCGCUCAAGUAAAGAAGAGACUCGAGAUCGAAGCAAAUCCUGUGAAAUAUUAUAUUGGUUUUUCAACUUUAUCGAUUCUUAUUUUACAGUUGUGUCGAACCAUCGAGCGUAUUCUUUCAUUUUCUGUAACAAGUCCUGUAAUGAAAAUUCUUAAUGGUUUAGAAAUCUUGUUAAAGUAUUCACAGGAGUGGGAAUGUAAUGCCAGUCGCCAUGUUUCCAUAAGAAUCAAUCUGAAUGAAGUCACCCAAAUGAUUAUCCAAUAGAGAAAGUUAGAGUUAAGGUGCUGGUCUUCUUUGUUGCGAGUUUGUGAAGUGAACGUGAGCGAUAGAGCCAAUCAUUGGUGGUUUCAUCUUCAUCACGUGAUCCAGGAAUUUUCCGCACUAAUGAACAAGCGGAUUGCACGGAAUUCAUCAAUAUCUUACAGCAGUUUAUUGAGAAAUCGUCCAUAGGAGAAUUUUGUCAUAGAUUAAACAUGCUACGGGCCUUUCAUUCUCAGAAAAUGUUGGACAAAGAAGAUAAUUCAGAUAUCGUGUUGAUUAUACUGUGGAACGUAUAUUGUUACUACAAACAAUUUCAGGCGCAAGUGAAUGAUUUUAUUCAGAAAGCAAAGACUCCGAUCGAGAAAGAGUUGAAGGAUUUCAUCAAGAUUAUCAAGUGGAAAGACAUCAAUUAUUGGGCAAUGAAGGAAACGUCGUCAAAGUCUCAUUAUACUUUGCUGAAAUUCAU